UACGUAGGUGGCAAGCGUUGUCCGGAUUUAUUGGGUUUAAAGGGUGCGUAGGCGGCCUAUUAAGUCAGUUCUGAAAUAUCCCGGCUUAACCGGGAGGGUGGGAUUGAUACUGAUGGGCUUGAGUGGAAUCGAGGUAGGCGGAAUUGACGGUGUAGCGGUGAAAUGCAUAGAUAUGUCACAGAACACCAAUUGCGAAGGCAGCUUACUAUGGUUUAAUUGACACUGAGGCACGAAAGCGUGGGGAUCAAACAGG
rnacentral:rRNA from 1 species